rnacentral:rRNA from 1 species
AGAGUUUGAUCCUGGCUCAGAACGAACGCUGGCGGCAUGCCUAACACAUGCAAGUCGAACGAUCCCUUCGGGGAUAGUGGCGCACGGGUGCGUAACGCGUGGGAACCUGCCCUUAGGUUCGGAAUAACUCCCCGAAAGGGGUGCUAAUACCGGAUAAUGUCUUCGGACCAAAGAUUUAUCGCCUUUGGAUGGGCCCGCGUUGGAUUAGCUAGUUGGUGGGGUAAAGGCCUACCAAGGCGACGAUCCAUAGCUGGUCUUAGAGGAUGAUCAGCCACACUGGGACUGAGACACGGCCCAGACUCCUACGGGAGGCAGCAGUGGGGAAUAUUGGACAAUGGGCGAAAGCCUGAUCCAGCAAUGCCGCGUGAGUGAUGAAGGCCCUAGGGUUGUAAAGCUCUUUUACCCGG